rnacentral:lncRNA from 1 species
UGUGUUAAUUUAAUUAAGUAUAAUUAUUUGGGUGUUUGUCUAGGUGAAAAGCGACCUUAAAUUUAAGGUGAAAUUAGAAAAAAUUAGGGUUAGGUUUGAUCAGGUUAUGUGUUAGUCAUUAAAGAAUAUUAGAAUGGUACUAGCAUUGUUUAAGAAAGGACACUUUCUAGGUCACUUUAAUUUUCAGUUAUUAACUUGUUUAUAUUAUUUUUGAUUAUGUUAGGUUUGAUCAGGUUAUGUUUUAGUCAUUUUAAAGCAUAUUUUAAAGGUAAUAUGUCACUUAAAUUUUCAGGUAUUAACUUGUUUUAGUCAC